AACGAACGCUGGCGGCGUGGAUUAGGCAUGCAAGUCGAACGGAACUUUAGCUUUUUCGAAGUUUAGUGGCGAAAGGGUGAGUAACACGUGGGUUACCUGCCUUUGGGAUCGGGAUAACUAAUCGAAAGAUUGGCUAAUACCGGAUACGUUCCAUUAUGAAUAAUAGUGGAGGAAAGAUGGGGACGGCGCAAGCCACCUAUCACCCUUAGAUGGGCCCGCGGCCUAUCAGCUAGUUGGUGAGGUAAUGGCUCACCAAGGCUAAGACGGGUAGCCGGCCUGAGAGGGCGACCGGCCACACUGGGACUGAGACACGGCCCAGACUCCUACGGGAGGCAGCAGUGGGGAAUAUUGGUCAAUGGGCGCAAGCCUGAACCAGCAACGCCGCGUGAGGGAUGACGGCCUUCGGGUUGUAAACCUCUUUCAGCAGGGACGAAGCGAAAGUGACGGUACCUGCAGAAGAAGCACCGGCUAACUACGUGCCAGCCGCCGCCGUAA
rnacentral:rRNA from 1 species